UACGAAGGGGGCUAGCGUUGCUCGGAAUCACUGGGCGUAAAGCGCACGUAGGCGGAUUCCUAAGUCGGGGGUGAAAUCCUGGAGCUCAACUCCAGAACUGCCCUUGAUACUGGCGGUCUCGAGUCCGGGAGAGGUGAGUGGAACUGCGAGUGUAGAGGUGAAAUUCGUAGAUAUUCGCAAGAACACCAGUGGCGAAGGCGGCUCACUGGCCCGGUACUGACGCUGAGGUGCGAAAGCGUGGGUAGCAAACAGG
rnacentral:rRNA from 1 species